UCUAGUUAAAUUUCUAUUUCUUCAACAUUUUACACUUUCGUAUUUUUAUUUUCUUGUAAUUCUAUGACCAGUACCUUCUUUGUUCCUCUCUUUUUGUUAAAAAGAUGAACGAAAUUCGCACGAAAAUCGCUGGAGAGUGGCGUAGUGCCUGUAAGAUACGAUGUUCAGUCUUUCGAGGAAACACAAUAGCCAACAUUCGAUGCGUGUCAUCCGUACAACGAGGGGGAUAAUGUAAAGGGCAUAUUUAACACAAAAGCUGCACGCUACGUAGCUACCUUGGAUGUUACGAGAAUCAGCGUGUAGACGUGUGUAGAACCGUGAACAAUGUGCGAGGUAAACAAUGAGUUGGACCGUAAAAAAGCGCGGAUAUUUAACAGCGACGUGGAUAUACGUGUCACUGGUUACUUGAAAAUCGAUACCUGUCCAACUAUUUUCCUAUGUUUUUCCUUUUCACCUCUUAACCUAAAUACCGCCGAGAAACUGUCAUAGAAAAUGUAAACAUUCCACGCUGCUCAAAGAACAAGCUACACAAUUAGUAAACCAAGGACUUUUUAUUUUAUAAUAAAUAAAUACGUUGUUUAUUGGUACUAAGAAUUGUGAAUAUUAUAAUAAAAUAUAUAAACUGCUUUAUUGGUUAUCGAACAAUAUAGAAUAAGCAAAUUGUAUAAUGUGAUAAGAUUCUUUGACAUUAUAUUGAAAUUUUAUUUAACCCUUAAAAAUUAUCAUGAAAGAAAAUCAUGUUCCCGCUAUUAGGACUGAAAUUUUACUAUAAUAGAUUUUUAUAAAGUCAUUUGAAUAGAAUGAAAUGUAUUAUUAUUUUUCUGUUAACCCUCAACGAAGAAAUCCAUAUAAAUGAUUUUUUAUUUUUGUACAAACAAAACUUUUAAUUGAUUAAAGUUUUUCACUCUAAUUUAAAGAUCACAGAAAAACCCGAGGCUCGUACCUGAAUCAGUAUUUUUCUACAAUAUCGAAUUCAAUUUUAUAUUACACAAACCCGAUACGUUUAAGCCAAUUGUUACGCUUCUUUCCUCGAUCGUCAAACGAACGACAAAAUCCGCCUGUUAUCUCCUCAUUUCUUUCCUUUCCCCGAUUUAAAUGGAGGUUUUAAUUGGUCCACUGUUAACGCUACACUCGUUAUACCGGGAAUCGAUCUGGCGUCGAAUAUUUCGGCCGGGCACAAUGGUGUUCGCGAAUUACACAAGCCCGCACGUCGCUCGCGAAUUCAGAAGAGAGCGGUGGAUCAAGCUUUCAUCGAGAUUAUUUGUAACGCUCCAGUCGACCAGCAUUGUAUGAAAAAAUAAUCCCUACUGCUCGAACAAUAGAAACGUGCUGCCCUUCACACAGAAAUCUUCAAAACAAGAUAUUCUUUUUUGUUUUUCAGAUCAAAACGUUAUUCUUUUGUUCUCAGUUUAAAACAAUUCGAAACACGUUCUUUUUCGUUUCUUUUCUGUUUCCUUUUUGAAAUAUUUUUAGAACAUUUUCGUGUGUAUGAAUAAGCAUAUAAGAAAUUAUUGGCGCAUUUAAUUAUAUCGAGAGGCCGAAGUAAAUUUAUCAGGUCACGAACUCGAAUAUGUCACACCAAGCAACAGUGAACGUGGAGAAUCAAUAAAACAUAGCCGUCUAAUGGCUUUGAUAUUUAUUCAAAUAUAUAUAAUUUUCAGGAGAACUCGUUCAUGUAGUGCACCAUUCCCCUUUCCUCCGAAUAUCAUUGUUCAAAUAUAUUUUUAGCCCUCGAUUAAAUGUUCUCUGCUCGAUUCCUGUUCUAUUUCAGGGCGUUUAAUUCGUGUAAAACUUGCAUUCACGCACUCGUUUUAAAUGCACGUGAGGCAUGAAAGCAUCUUUUGUAGAAGAUUUAAUUCGUUUCGCAGAUUACUUAUUUAAUCACGCGUUCCUGUAUUACGUGAUUUUUGAUCGUAGUAAAAUAAGCUUUCGUAAUUAAUAUUAUUCGUUUCGCUAUAAAUAUCAAUUGUUCUGAGUUUUAAUUGUUUUGAAUGGCUUAGUUUCAAUUAACUUUACGUGAAUUCUAUUUAGUACACAACAUCGAAUUUCAUGCGUCGCACGUGAACGAACAUCAAAUCUAUUCAAAAGUCGAAAUAUGAGGGAAAUUUUAAGAUUGAUCAGCAACGAUGCAAUGUAGCGAGCGUGGCCAUCACGUUGAUUUAUUGACGGAAAUGCAACAGUGACAAGAAAACAACAGAAAACAGGAAUUCAAGAGACACGCGAGGAAAGAAGAGGAAAAUGGAAUAUUUUUUCAAAGAUUUAACCAGAGACGAGUAUUUGCUAUUGCAGUGAGGAAUUUUCAACAUUCGGUGUGCGUGCAGCUGGCAAAUAGAGGAUUCUGGAAUCUUACUUAUGAAGUUGGAUGCUUCCAAAAGUGACGCUACUUGGUAGAAGUUGUUCUACUUUCUUUCAUUGGUUCGUCUUGAUUUUUUCAAAUAGCGUGCUCGAACGUUGGUUUCUUUUAAGUUCACAAAUAAAACGUUGUCCGAGGAAAGCCAUUUGCACCUCUGAAAUUUUCAAUUUAAAAUUAUUUUCGUUUAUGUUUCUUAUAUAUUUUGGAUAAACAAUUGAGAAGCAUUCUAAAAAGAAUCCGUGGGAUAAUAGUUUCUAAAGAACGUUGUUUUUUCAUAUUUAGAAAUAAACAAAAAUUUCAUAAUACUUCAACUAUUCGACUAAUAAAAUAAGCUUACAGAUAUUUUCUUCAGACCUUUAUAAUAAAACGUAUAGUAAUUCAUAUCAUUUAAGACCUCUCUAAAGAACUUGCAAAGCCUUUGAAACCCAUACAAAGUAUUUCCAAUCGGAAUGUGUUUAAUUCCUUCAAAAACACCUUGGAAAUAGAUUUAUUUUAGUGAGUCGAUUGAUUAUCUCUGCACGAAAGGCUAUAGCUAAACCAAAAUAUAGUUCGUUCUCUGGUGGCAUUAGGACAAAUUAGAAGCGUGCCUGGCUCGUGGAAUCAAUUCUUGGCCGCAAUUCCCAGCAGCCAGGCCUGGCCUCUGGUCUGUGUUAGAUGUAACGAUCGAAACCCGGUGGCUUCGAAUCCCUUCGGUCGAUCGUACGGACUGCUUAAUUGCUCCUCGUCCUACUCGUUGUAAUUGGAAUCGAAACGCGGACGCAGUUAGGUGCGAAAGAAACCGCUGACGAACUGUCGCUGAACGCCCCUUCGUUUCCAUUUUCGUUGUCCGAUGAAAACAAUCUAUUCGUGUACGUGAGACGAAAACCAACACCACAGGUCUCGGAUUCUUCGAGGUUGUUUCGGUUCGAAAGUAUUGGCGGAUGUGGAGGCGGUCACGAAAUGCUUAAUUGCGUUUCUUAUGGUGUUUUUAUCGAACGAAGGGGUUAAGGUUGAAGGAUAUGGGAAAAUAAGUGAAUCUUGGUUUCAGGAGAAAUCUUGAUAAAUGGCAGAUGAAGAGUGAGUUAGAUUAGUAACUAUAAUAGUUUCACUCUGAGAAUCUUUUUUUUUUUUUGUUAGAGUUAGAUUUGGAUUGACGAAACUGAGUAAGAUGAUAAAUUAUAAUACGGAAGAAUCUAAGUAUAAAUUAUUUGUAAUCUUGGCGAAAUAUACAUAGACUUGCACUAAGUAUCUUGCACUAAGUAUCUUCUAUGUAUAUUUUCGGACUUGUUUCAAACUUUAUCAACAUAAUUAUGAUAGUCAAGACUAAUAACGCCAACGAAACUUCAAAAUGUUACGUAUUACAUACGCGAUGUGUACAUAAAAAGUGUCUACUUUCCUGAAUUUCUGUAUUUAUACUUCAUUGUACCAGUUGAGGGUCGAAGAUCCUCUUCCUAAAUUCUUUCAAUCACCUUCACCCAUAAUCACCACUAGCCUGGUAGACACCGUCGAUCGCGAAUUUUCAUAUCUUACCAAUUCGUCUCUGGCUACCUCGAUCGAACAUUCCUUUGAUCAUCGGCGAAAGGGAGAGGCGGAUUGUUCUGGGAGCGUAGCCAGUGGCGGGAAAUCGGAUUCCGUUGCAUCAUCGAUAUCGGGUGGCCGCGUUGCGCACGAAGGCCCGUUUCUCUCGAAUUUGGCGGCGCAGGGCAUGUGGAGAAUUCGGCUCGGCUGGUGGCCUCGUUAGGAAGCGGGCAGAGCCCGCGCGCGUCAUCGAGCGGGCGCGAGCGUGUUUCAACCCCUGCACGUGAUUCCGGCCGCAAAUUUUCACGGGCUAUGAGCUUGGAAAUCGACUCGCGGCCGCAAUUACCGGACAAACCUGAUAUAAACGCCGUUCCCGCCACGAUGGAAUCGGGACCGACGUGAGUCUCGCGGCCUGGUUUAAUCGCUUUAUCCUUCACCCGUUACGAUUGACACGCUGUUCUAGUUUAGGCUUUAGACUUUUCACAUGCGUUGAUUCUAGUAGAGGAUUUCAAGAUCUGCUUGUCACGUUGACUUCGGUGCGUAGAUUGUAGAAUUUGAGUGUCCGAUCUCGUAACUUAACUUGUCUUAACUUAUUUCAUGAAGUUGGGAGCCGAAGAUGUAUGCUUCUUUUACUACAUAAGACUAUAUUUUUAUCAGGAAUAAUCACAUCGUGGAAUUGCCAAACGAGACAGUUCUAUAUACACCGUUCUUCAUACACGAUUUCGACCUCUAGUUUCUCACCCUCUUUCGAUAGAUUCAUCGUUGCAAUGAAUGCUUCGUAACCUCUACAAACAUCAUUCGCUUUGAUUCGAGUUUCGUGUAUACAAUUCGGACAGUCGUAUCUUACGGUAGUUAAAACAUUACUUUGAAAACUCGACCCUGAUGUAUUAUUGUUACUUGAACUUUCAAUAACGUGUGUUACUAGAAUAGUUGAAUUGAGUGUACUAGGAUAGAAUGAACAUUUCUCAGAAAAUGAAGUCGAUCAAUUUGAUUUUAAAUAACUCAUUUAAAUAUACUACUUUUUUUAUGUACAUAGAGUUACACGUAUAAAAUAUUUCGCCUUUAAUACUAAAGACGGAAUCCAAUCGCCUUGAAAGAGGAAAAUCAGAACGAACUGUGACUAAUUAGAAGAUAAAUCGAACGGAUUUUUUCGCGUACAAUCUUCCACGUUUUACUGGAACGUACGAUACUUCUGCCAAUCCAGAGUCGUUGGAAGAUAAAUUGAACAGGCACCGUGAGAGGCCACGAAAUCAAUUGUCAGCCACAAUUUCCUGCUGGAAACUCCGUUAAACGAUUAAGACCCGAGAAGAUACGAUUCAGGGAACAUCGCGGUUACAUCGUAUCCCUUCGAUCGCUUGUAAGGACACCUUAAUUGCUCGCUAGUGUCCUCCCGCGCGAUUGCAACCCAACUUUACUGCUCUACGUAACGCCACACGAUCGUAAACGUUAAACCGUACGUUCCAUUCUAUCUCUCCUUUAUUCAAAAAAUUAUCUUUCUGGCAAUCCAAAUUAUUUCUCAAUUUUGGUUCAACUAAUUAUUAAAAAUUAAGUAAUUAUCAGGCAUGAUAUACAUACAUGAUAGAUAUACCGAACUUGAGAACUGAUUAUGAUGCAUUUUUACGUCAUUUUUCUGGUUGAUGUCGAAUUUUCCACGAAUGUAACAUUUAUUUCAUCGUUUACAUAGAAUUCUAUAAUUUUAGUCGUUCCAUAUCCAUUCAAAACUAAUUUAAUGUUUGAUGUCCUUUGUAAGCUUUCUACAUAGUACCGUACAGAAGAUUACUGCAAUGUGCUAGCUUUCUAUUCGAACAGCUGCAAGUACGAUCUCAUCGUUACUAUGGUAACUAUAAAUCCGUGACGACCACAUCACAGUUCACAUCACAGAGACAAUCUGAGGACCGACUGAUAAACUGAUCGUUGAUUCAACAUCUGUCCGGAACGUCUAUAUUGUAAUCUCUCAACUGUUGGUGAAAGGCACCAGAGCUCGAAGGAUGUUUCUGAGAGAAAGUGAAAUGAACGAGAGCAUCAGAGACUAGAGAAGGGCAAGAGGAAGUUAUGUUUGAUGUGUUGCAAUAGGAGCCGCUCUAUGAUGAGAGGAGUAUCGAUGUGAAUUAAUAUCGAUCGAUAGACGUGCUUCAAAUUUCGAAAUUUAUGAAGAUUUGGAAUGCUCUGAAGGUAUGUAUACAAUAGAAGAACAAGCACGAAGGGCUUGGUAGAAGUGAUCCGCGCGAAUGUGGUGAGAUGUCGCCGAAGCACGUAACAAAGGCUCGGCUAACGCUCUGUAAACGACCGUAGAAAUGCAAAUAAAUCGUUUACCAUAUCAUUCUCUUUCACUCUGUUACACACUAUGCUUUCACGAAUAUUCGCGUGGCCAACGGUACACUGCAAUCGAUGAUCGACACGAUUCGUUUUUCCACUCGUGCAAAUUGCUAAUUCGGUUAAUGGACGUGGAAUCGGAUCGGUCAUUAGCGCGUUUAUUUCAAUUAGCCGAACAAAAUCCUACGAAUUACGUAAACUUGCCUGAAAUUUAAUGUCUCCUACUUGCUCGAGCUGAGAUCUUGUACAGAAUGGUACGACGAAUCUCGUCCCGUUAUUCAGUCGUUAUCCUCGUUAUCCUCGUUAACGAGUGAGUUGUUAGGUAACUUAAUUAACGCGCCGGAUUCGUAAUGGUACAUCGAUUGCAGCGGACGCUGGCGGCGUUUGCAUGGAAAGAAUUGUGAACCGAUUAUCAGUUGACGAAGCAGGUUUCUUUUGCUCUUCUUAUAUGUUAAUACACGUGUAGGCGAUGGACGAGUCGUAUGGUGAGUUGUAAAUUUAUUUUAAAAGUCGGAGGAAAUAUUGAUUUUGACUUAAGGAAGAGUGCCUUAAGUAUUUAGGUGUUUUAAGCUACAGAUCUUAUUUCUCGCGUUUGAUGUAUAGUAUGAAGAAGAAGAUAAAUGGAACAAGCUCGAAAGGAAGAUAAAUGGAACAAUGAAGCAGUUAAUCUCUUAAAUGAUAAUCGCACAGCCCCUUGGAUUUUUCAAGAUUUAUUUCCACCACUUCUUAAGAACCCUUAUGAAUCGAAUGAGAAAUAAAAAUUCUAAAAAAGUAAUAUUUCAUCCUUUAGCGGUAACGUUACUUUUGACCAUUCCAAUCUCUGGUAGUUCUCAGUCUCUAGGGUCUCGUCAAUUUAACAGUGCAAAGUCCAACUGGUGUUCGAGAUAUAUAAUCCUCUAUAACGCCAUGGGACUUGGGAAUUAUAUAUACGUAUAUUCGUACCUCUAACAUUUUUAUUUACUUAUUUCUUCGUUGAUCCGACCUAUGAAUAAUAUUUCAUUGAUACGUUAUUAUAUUAGGACCAUAGAAUCAUUCUAUAGCAGCUGUUAGUUCAGAUUAAUAUAAAAAUCUAACGUAGUGUGUCAUAAGCUCAAAAUUCUACGAUAAUUAUAGAAAGUUAAAAUUAUCGUUAAUUAGCUAUCGAAUUUACAACUCACUGUACACCUCCUCUAUCAACAAGACACAUUAUAUAAUAUGAUGAUUAAAUUGAUCACUCAUAAUGAUGCAGACGCUGUACAAGACAUAUACGUGAUACUUGCUAUUAGAAUUAUGUGUGAGGAUUAUACAAUUAUUGUUCCUCGAGUAUUUAUUAGAUUGUUAUAAAAGUCGCGUAUGUAGACGCGCUUAACGUACGUUGAUUAUGUUUAUGGAUCAAAUAAAACAAAGUUCGAUGUA